CCUACGGGAGGCAGCAGUGAGGAAUAUUGGUCAAUGGGCUUACGCCUGAACCAGCCAAGUCGCGUGAGGGAAGACUGCCCUAUGGGUUGUAAACCUCUUUUGUCAGGGAGCAACGCCGGCUACGUGUAGCCGGACUGAGAGUACCUGAAGAAAAAGCAUCGGCUACCUCCGUGCCAGCACCCGCGGUAAUACGGAGGAUGCGAGCGUUAUCCGGAUUGAUUGGGUUUAAAGGGUGCGUGGGCGGAAUGCCAAGUCAGCGGGAAAAUCGCGGGGCCCAACCUCGCUCCGCCGUUGAAACUGGCGGUCUGGAGUGGGCGAGAAGUAGGCGGAAUGCGUGGUGUAGCGGUGAAAUGCAUAGAGAUCACGCAGAACUCCGAUUGCGAAGGCAGCAUACCGGCGCCCAACUGACGCUGAAGCACGAAAGCGUGGGUAUCGAACAGGAUUAGAUACCCUAGUAGUC
rnacentral:rRNA from 1 species